rnacentral:lncRNA from 1 species
AUGCGCCGUGCUUCACAGAGCCCUCCCUCCCCCACAGUGGCUGGAAACGGGCAGCCUACAGCGUUUCCGGGAGCGCUGCAGGCCCGCAGACCUCCAGGACUGCAUACUGAAGAGAAAGUGAAUCGGCAUCGGCAAAGCCAGAUGUUAUCAGUCCACCAAGAGCUGUGCACAUUGAUAGGAGCCAAAGGAGCAAAGAGCGGAAACAGGAUUCGAGGAAGGGAGCCAACUGGCUGGAGCCGGGUACAGCGGCUAUCAGGGAGUGUCAGGGAGGGCCCAAGCGCCAGAGAUCACUGUGACCCUGGCGGGACACCCGUACUCGCUUCUCAGACCGUACCCGAUGCCUCUCUGUGUCACCCAUGUGCACCCUGGCUCCACCACAGCCCAGUGAGUUUCACCAGGGGAAUUCAGGUGGCUCUUGUCACUUGCAGUGACUUCUGGGUCUUCCCCAGGUCAAGGCACUGCAAUUCUGGGGUUUGGACACCUGUAACAGUUUUCCUUGAUUGGAUUGAGAAAUGCCUAGGACAUCCUUGGUGUUUCUGUGAGGGCGUGUCCAGAGCUGAUUGGCAGGUGGGACAGCCAACUGACAGGGAGACACCCUAAGUGUGUGUGGCACCAUCCAAUAGGGUGGAGGCCAGGAUGUAACAAAAGCAGGGGGAAGUGGAAGCCUAGCACCUGCUGCUUCCAGUCUGUUUCCUGGCUGCCAG